rnacentral:lncRNA from 1 species
GGGAGACCCAGGAAAGGCCUAGGUAUUGCGGGUACGUGUUCUCGCUUUUGCCGUCUGGCUGUAGACGUCUCGGGAAAACUGAGCGGGGAAGAAGGGCAAGCCACUCUCAGCGGUAGGGGAGCCAGGCCCGCCCGGCCGAGCCUGCUUACUGCCGUCCUACUGCUCACCUCUUCCAGCUGACGGGCGCCUCAGCUAUUGAUCGAUACUUGACUGAAAGGGAUCCAUCCCACUGAUAAAACCAGAUGCCUUCUCCCACUUCAGCAGACGAAGAGGAUGGCCUGGAGACCUGUGUUUUAAAGACUUUUGAUCUGGAUUUAAAAGAAUCAAAUAUUGUUACUCCAAGCAAUAGUCUCAAAGCAGAGUUAGAUGGCAGUACAAAGAAGAAAUACUCGUUUGCAAAGAAAAAGGCCUUUGCCCUUUUUGUCAAAACCAAACAAGUUCCAGUGCCUUCUUAUGAAGUUAAGGAAAGACGGUGGCGAUGUUGUCAGCAGCUGUUUGCAGAGCAGACCAGCAUCCACAGACAUGUGGCCACACAGCACGCUGAAGACGUGUACCAGCAGACUGCUUCCAUUCUCAAGCAGCUCACUGCAGCACUGAGGACCCCACAGAGUCUUACGCCCACAGACCGGAGGAGCUCCCCAAAAGACUGUCUCCCUCCUAGUCAGGAUGUGUCUGCUUGGCUCCCUGAUGUGAGCCACGUUAGCCCGCAAGAGCUGAGGAGAUUCGGAUCGCGACAGAAGGAAUCAAUGGAACCGUUGGAGGAAGCAAAGUGGCCACCCGACUCUACAUGGAAGUCAUGCUUUCUUGCCCAUUAUUUAAGGAUUACCUGAGCGAGGAUGAUUUUAAGAGCAGCAAAGGAGGGUCUCACUGCUUCCCGGAAUUGCGAGUCGGUGUGUUCGAAGAGAUCGUGCCCAUGGGGAUCAGCCCCAGUGAGGUCUCCUACAAGAACCCCGGUAUGCUUAUGUUUUACAGAAGUGUUACUCUUCGUCAUAGAUAUAAAGUGUAUAAGAAAGUUAAAUACUGAUUAGCAAAAACUGUAAUAAACCUUCUCUUUAAAAUAGCCAUGGGGAGACUAUAACUGUUUGUCCAUCCAGCACUUAGACUGGCCUCUGUGGUGCUUAUGGUAACUAAAAGCUCAUCUAUACCCAAAGCACAUUUUUCUUGGUGAUGGUUUGGCAAGUUGUUUCCUUUUUCUAGAGAGAGCAGUUUAAAAGCAGUGUGGUUAUUAUUUGCAAAUAGUUCAUCAGCAGGAAGAGUGCAUGGGCUUUUGCCACAGUAAGCAAAUGGCUUUCAAAACCAAAGCAAUGUUGUAGAACAUUCGAUCCCUGCUUCCCUGUGGUUACUAUAGAUGACUGAAAGGCGUUUGUUUGGCAGGGAUUUUUGGUUUUGUUUUACUUUUUACCAUGAAAGUUUCCAAACAUUAACUAGAAUACAGAGAAUAAUAGAGUGACCUUCCAUAUGCUUACACAAGGCCCAGCAGCAGCUGCUCAUUCAUGGCAAGCAGUCCCCUGGGCCCCAUCCCUUUCUCUCAUCCUAGAUCCUGUUAUUUUAUUCAUAAAUUCUUUAGUAAACACCCUUAAAAGAAAGAGUAACAUUUAAGUGUAACUGUUACCAUGUCUAAAACAUUUUAGCAACAAUUAAUAAAUAUCUGUCAUUG